rnacentral:rRNA from 1 species
AAACUUGUGCUAAUACCGGAUAACGCCCGUUACGGGGGAAGAUUUAUCGCCGAAGGAUCGGCCCGCGUCUGAUUAGCUUGUUGGUGAGGUAAUGGCUCACCAAGGCGACGAUCAGUAGCUGGUCUGAGAGGAUGAUCAGCCACACUGGGACUGAGACACGGCCCAGACUCCUACGGGAGGCAGCAGUGGGAAUAUUGGACAAUGGGCGCAAGCCUGAUCCAGCCAUGCCGCGUGAGUGAUGAAGGCCCUAGGGUUGUAAAGCUCUUUUGGCGGGGAAGAUAAUGACGGUACCCGCAGAAUAAGCCCCGGCUAACUUCGUG